AUGAUCUCUUUCUGGAGAUUCUUCUCUGGUGGUGAUUUCCUCUGUGAACCUGGAAUCUUCUUAUAUGGGAGCACAAGUCACAUAUUUCAGUAUAGCCCCUCAUAUACACAUUUAAAUCAGAGAAACUGUGACUUAUUUUUAAUCAGGGGAAAGGCUGAAACAAUUCCACUUAGAAGAAGGUUACAAACAGGCUGAGUAUUGCAGCUGGCUGGAAGAAGUUUGUGCUCUGCAGGGCUAAGGUGAAUACAAGUUCACACAGAACAGACAGCACAAUGCUGAUAGCUGACAUUUCUGCUCCAGUCCUUCUCUAAAACCAGUUGUCUAGGCUGAGGCUUGGAUUCCUUCAAAUGAUGUUCCACAGUCACAGCCUGGUAAUGCUGUAUUUUGUUUCAUCACUAUUAUUAAAACUCAAUUUUUUUUAAAAAAAGUUUAAUUCCAAGGAUGUGUUUUGUCAACAAUUAUAAGAUUAAACAGUGGAAGAUCUUAAAUUCAAACAUCUCUGCAAUAGGAAACAGUUGCUAAGGCUACUCAUCUAAGCAACAUGGUGAACCCAAAUCUUUGUUUAACUACUUUUGAAUUCUGAGUCCUACAAAAAGUCUGUUCCUAUUCUUAAAAAAGAUGUAUACUGCUGUGUAACCAUGUUCUAUUCCUACUGUCUGUUCACACAAAUACAUGGGUUCAUAAAAUAGUGUCUCAUAUUAAUUUUUAAAGCCUAUGUUUAAUCAGUAUGUUCACCUUAAAAGCUAUAAAACACAAAAAUUUCUUAUGCAGAAUAUAGGAUGUUUUGGGGUAGUAAAGAACAGUUCCUUGAAGCUUACAUGGGAAAUAAAUAAGGCAUUACUUUUGGAAGUCUGUGCAGUUUGUGGGAACUUUGGGACAGUCACUUAUGCUUCAUAAAGAAUUUCCUUUUGUAUUUUCAC